rnacentral:rRNA from 1 species
GGAACUCGUAUCUUAAUCCGAUGAUCCCCGUUAAUUCUCUCUACAAUUCAGUAUUCAUAUCGCCGUUUUCAGAUGAAAUUUUGAUUUUUUAUCUUCAUAGAUCUCCUUUUACGUCAGGUCGAGAUAAAGCCUAUAUUAUAGCGAGCCGAGUUACAAAUUUUUGACAAAAACAUUUUACCGUUCAACAACAUUAAAUUUUUAGGAUUUGACAGUAAUUAAAAAGCAAUUUUUUUUUAUGAACUUUUCUUAAAGGUGUACAUAUCGCCCGUCACCCUCGUCCAAAGAUGAGGUAAGUCGUAACAAAGUUAAUAUACUGGAAAGUGUAUUAAGGG